UACGGGGGGGGCAAGCGUUGUUCGGAAUUACUGGGCGUAAAGGGCUCGUAGGCGGCCAACUAAGUCAGACGUGAAAUCCCUCGGCUUAACCGGGGAACUGCGUCUGAUACUGGAUGGCCUGAGUUCGGGAGAGGGAUGCGGAAUUCCAGGUGUAGCGGUGAAAUGCGUAGAUAUCUGGAGGAACACCGGUGGCGAAGGCGGCAUCCUGGACCGACACUGACACUGAGGAGCGAAAGCCAGGGGAGCAAACGGG
rnacentral:rRNA from 1 species